rnacentral:rRNA from 1 species
CUCGUAGGCGGUCUGUCGCGUCGGCUGUGAAAACCCGGGGCUCAACCCCGGGCCUGCAGUCGAUACGGGCAGACUAGAGUGCGGUAGGGGAGACUGGAAUUCCUGGUGUAGCGGUGAAAUGCGCAGAUAUCAGGAGGAACACCGGUGGCGAAGGCGGGUCUCUGGGCCGUAACUGACGCUGAGGAGCGAAAGCGUGGGGAGCGAACA